rnacentral:rRNA from 1 species
UACGAAGGGGGCUAGCGUUGUUCGGAAUCACUGGGCGUAAAGAGCGCGUAGGCGGAUCGUUAAGUGUAGAGUGAAAUCUCCAGGGCUCAACCCGGAAACUGCUCUGCAUACUGGCGAUCUUGAGGGGCACAGAGGCAACUGGAAUUCCUGGUGAAGCGGUGAAAUGCGUAGAUAUCAGGAGGAACUCCCAUGGCGAAGGCAGGUUGCUGGGUGCCAUCUGACGCUGAGGCGCGAAAGCGUGGGUAGCAAACAGG